rnacentral:rRNA from 1 species
UGGUCUUGACAUCCCGAGGAUCUCCUGGAAACAGGAGAGUGCUUUCAUUAGAGAGAACUCGGUGACAGGUGCUGCAUGGCUGUCGUCAGCUCGUGUCGUGAGAUGUUGGGUUAAGUCCCGCAACGAGCGCAACCCUUGCCUUUAGUUGCCAGCAGGUUAAGCUGGGCACUCUAAAGGGACUGCCGGUGUCAAACCGGAGGAAGGUGGGGAUGACGUCAAGUCCUCAUGGCCUUUAUGACCAGGGCUACACACGUACUACAAUGGCCGAUACAAAGGGCAGCUACAUUGCAAAAUGAUGCGAAUCCCAUAAAGUCGGUCUCAGUCCGGAUUGGGGUCUGCAACUCGACCCCAUGAAGUUGGAAUCGCUAGUAAUCGUGGAUCAGCAUGCCACGGUGAAUACGUUCCCGGGCCU